AGAGAAGUUGUAGAACCAGUAAGUGCGACUCAUCACACAGUAUUGCAGUACGCACGGCGCGGUGUGGUGUUGACACAGCGUCUUUGUUGCAAGCGGCCGGGCGGGCGGCAGGCGCGGGGUGCCCGUGUUUGUAAACGCGGCUGUGGCACGGAAGCCAGUGCGAUAACGACCAAUAAAGAACAAUAUUUAAAAGUCUUGCUUUCACGGAUAAAUGAAGAACGGUCCUUUCCACCAAUUCACUGCGUGAGUUGCAAACUUGUAAACCAAGUAGAAAUCUGUUUUGUUUCCGAGGCAAAAGGCGUUCCCAAUCAUUAAGGCGUAAUCACAAAGCGGGUUGGGCAUCUGAAUCUCUCAGCGUAGCAAUAUUACUUCGUAACCAUUUCAUAAAGUUUAUUGAUGAAAUAUGAACAAAUAGCAUUAUCAACAUAUGUAGGAUGUUGCUACAGCAGCGUACUGCCAUUUGCGCCGGAUUUUGACUUCGGGGGCUCAAGGCGUAGCAUGUGGUGGGGGCCCUUAAAUCGCUCUUGUAUUUUUUAUGAGUUUUAUUUGACUUACUAUGAUGGAUAUGUACGUAUCAGCCACAGAACGUCAACUGCUGAACAUAGGCCUCCCCUAACGACUUCCAGAUAGGCGGGUCUUCCUCGGCUUCAUAGUCCAUUCAGUAUUUUGUGACCGUGCUCUAGGAAACUAGACAAAAGAUGUUAUAAGUCUUCUUAACGUCUGUUUACUAAUGUUGUGUGGUAUGUCUAAUAAAGCUGAUAUUUUUUACUCAAAUAAAUAGAGACAAGUUUCAAAAGAGAUGUAAAAUCCGUGGCUUUAUUUUUGCUGGGAAGGUCAAAACACUUAAUUUGUCGUUCAGCUUCUUGAAUAACCUUAAUAAUCUGUCUUCAAAUAUGACUGGCAGACUAACUCCUACACGCAGAGUUCACAUCUUGUAAGAAAUCCGAGCUUUUCCAUCAGAAAUACCCAACAAUAAAUCGUUUGAAGCGUAACUGUUUGCCGGGAUAUUAUAAUACAAAAAUUAUUUGUUUGAUCAAUACUUAUAUUGCUACUCCGGGUCUGGAAAACCUUUUAGUGUAAGGGAAUUUGUACAAAUAAAUUACAUGUGGUGAGGCUAGGCUAUAUAUAGCCUGCCUGUGUAGCCUGUCUAAAUCCCGCACUGCCUCUAGGCAGGCUACACGUAGUGCUGGCAACCGAAACAGAGAUACUUCCCGAAAAUCUCGUCAGGCGGGAGGUGAGGACAUGGUGUGGAGGAGCCGUGGUGUAUCGCUAGCCACUCUUUAGAAAAGAACCUCAACGCUCCGAUAAUAGCGAACGCAACAUAUAAAAUGCUAAUAGAUUAAUAAAGUUCAUCAUUUUAACGGACAUCAAUUUCUUUUGAGUGUAGCUCUGUUUUUUAUUUGGUGGAUAUUAUAGUUCUUGACCUAAACUACGAAUGGACGAACAGACAGAUGGACAGAGACGAAUCAAGCGCACGGAAAGUAUGUACCCCGUAUGUUAUAAUUUCCUUUCGAGUUUCAAAAUGCAAUUUUUCGCAUAAACGCCAAACGUUAUCUUUUGAUUGCGUCGUCUCAGAAGUUUUACUCUUUCAGCCAAGCGACAACAAACCAGAGUACAAAUUUCAUAUACAUUUCUAACUACCUACGUACGUAUAUCUGAGAAAAAGGGUUUUGUUGACAGACGGACGGACAAAACGAUCCUAUAAGUUCCGUUUUCUCCUUUGGACUCAUAAAUGACAAAUUUAUCGAGAAAGUCGGGAAUAAGUGGUUCCCGCUCUGAAUGUGUGCAAUAUACCUAUUAAUGUAUAGGUAUGUAGGUACUGCCGACCUGCAGACUACAACGAAGGUUCUCAGCUGCGGCCGUCGCGGGCGACAGCUGGCGGCGUGCGUGGGAACUAUUUAUUAUAUAUUUGGUACUAACAGAUUUGGUAUCGUGAUAUUCGCCUGAAAUAUGUGUUGUGUUGAUGGACACGUCAACUGCCACUGCAGCGGAGACUAUUUGAUAAACACGCAGAGCAUCAUUGUACUUGUAAAUUGUAACUACGUUUGCUUUAACAAUCACAUUGUUUUUGGUUGUUGUUUAGUUGCCACGUCCAGCCGCUCGCGUUCCGAUACUUACAUCUACCGAUGCGUAAUGUGUUCACCUACAUUAACCACACUCCCGCGGCGCGCAUAUUGAUGUGAACAAUGUCAUUUCUCCUACAGUUCUUUGAGUACCAUUCGUAGCAUCAGUUAAUAUUAAUAUCAACAAACUACUGUACUGCGUCAUAUUCAUUAUACAUAGAAACAGCCACAGUCAUAGCCAGGUCAGACAAACCGUGUCCAUGCACAAUUGCACACAAAUAUUUGACUUGAGCGGGAGUCUAACCGGAGACCAUCGGUGUGACAGUCGGUGACAACCCCACUCGAUGGCUAGACGCUAAAACAUCUCUAAAACAUGAUUAUUUAUUGUACAAAAUGGGAGUUGGGACUCACACCUAACAAAGAUACGACUAACGUAUCUUUCAUUCAGUACUACUUGAGUAGGAGGUAGGCCCAACGAUUUUAAUGCAAUGAGAGCGACAUGACACACGACUGAUCACUGGGACGGCGCGGCGGGUGGGGGGGGGGGGGGCGUCGCAUCCGCAGCCGUACCGGUGCGGCAGUGAGGCGGUGACUAUUGACGGAGUAUUGACAAAAACCGUGCAACGCUUCCUGUUUUCCUUUGUGGGUCGCACAGCCCGGCCGCGCCUGCCCUACUCAAUACCGACCACUAGCUCUCGACAUUAUAAUUAUCACAAUAAAAGUCAAGAGAUGCACAGACUGAGGCUUGGGUUGCACCACGGUUCACUUCGCACUACUCGUAGUCUGUGGGAGUGGUAGAUGUGAAGUGGUACUUGCCUUAUUGAGCCGGUCCAUACAGGCGCUGUCACCAACUGAUGGUAAUGCUGUACACUACAGUGACAUAAGUUUCAGUGCUCCCUACAUAUAGGAACCGACCUACAGACAUCGUUGCGUGCUGGUGCCGCGCGGAGCGGUCGCUGGCGGACUACAUCUUGUACUCUUCAUCAUCAUCGGUCUAUCACUGCCCACUUCUGAACAACGGCAUCUUCUCACAUGGAGAAGGUUUGAGCAUUGAUCACCACGCUUGCUCAAUGCAAGUUGGUGAUUUCGAAUUUAUUAUUUGAAAUUAAAUCGAAGUUUCCUCACGUUA